AAUUAUUUAUUUUAGGAAGAUGCCAGAGCCAUAUAGAGGAGCAGCUUCCCUGUGGUUCCCAUUCCUGGGUCACCUUCUUCCCGGAGGAGGGAGAGGACAUUCUUUGCCAAAUAAGUCUUGGUUCCACUUGGAAGAGAGACCGUUUACAAACAGACAGCAGUCUGGGUGUUUCCUGGACUCCCACUCUUCUCAGAUCUCAGCUGGAGUUCCUUUUCUUGGCGGUCUUUCUGCAGGAGUCUCCAGGUCACUUUCCAGGGCUCUCUCCUCCAGCUGGCAGCAGGGGGCUUGAGGCAAGGAGAGGUAGCCCGCCUCCCCCCUGCAGCUUUGCCUAGAUGGAUGGACGUGCCUUUUGUAGCCUGGCCUGGCACCUUGUUCCAUUCCCCUCUUGGUGGACCUUCCUUCCUGCUGCAGGUUACCAAACAGGCCCAAAACUCAGCAACCUCUCUCCUAUGUAACAGGGUUUUUUGUUUGUUUUGUUUUGUUUUGUUUUUGCUUUAAGAUUUGUUUUUAUGAUUUUUAAAUUUAUAUAUACACACACAUAUAUACAUAUAUGUAUAGAUAUAUUUGUAUGUGUGCAUGCAUGUCAUGCACAUGCAGUGUCCAAGGAAGCCAGAAGAGAGAGUUGGAUACCCAAGGACUGAAGCCACAGGCACCAUGAGCCACUGGACAGGGUGCUAAGAGCUGAAUUGGGUUCCUCUGGAAUAGCAGAACCACUCUUAACAGAUGAGCUCUCUUCAGCUCCAUAACCUCCUGUUUUAACAGCCACAGAGCUGUUUCGCUGCUCUGUCCAUAGAAGUCAACCCGGCUUUUCAUCCCAGUCACAUAGUUACACGACCACCAAACAGUCCUCUUCCAGAAACACAGUGGGCAGAAGAGCAAGAUCAAUGACCAGAAGGGUCAGAAGCCAUGACAUAGUCCCAUCCCAUCCUGAAUUCCCAAGAGUCACUUCCAGUUUGGAAAUUGAGACCCAGAGACCAUGUUCUUUCUCAGAAGUGCCAGGCAUGGAGGUAUUACCACUUAUGGUCACUGCAGACUCAAGGGCACUUCCCCUCCACCACAGCCUGGGAGACCACAAGGCAUCCCAUCCCACUCUGAGUUCUGGAAGCAGGUCUCAUGGCUCUUCCAACCCUGAAUCUUCAAAGUCUUAGCUAACUUAGCUAAGUUGGGGACCUUAGCUCUGUGCCUCCAGUUCUCAUCUGCAAAGGAGUCACAAGUCACACCGGUCACUGCAGGUUAUGCACCGGAAGAUGCCUGCUCAGAGCAUGGCUUGGCCUCUGUUUUAAUGCCAGCCACUGGCAAUCAGUAUUCUCGCUAUAUUCUUAUUGGUUCUCAGGAACUCCUAGGAGCCUCACUGGACUGGGGAACAGGGAGGCCUGAGCUGCUCAUCUGUGUACCUCAGAAGGUUGAUACUCAUGCCUAGGACAAGCACUUGACCCCU
rnacentral:lncRNA from 1 species